AGUGGCGAAGGCGUCAGACUGGAACGCGCCUGACGGUGAGGGACGAAAGCCAGGGGAGCGAACCGGAUUAGAUACCCGGGUAGUCCUGGCCGUAAACGAUGCAUACUAGGUGAUGGCGCGGCCAUGAGCCGUGUCAGUGCCGUAGGGAAACCGUUAAGUGUGCCGCCUGGGAAGUACGGUCGCAAGGCUAAAACUUAAAGGAAUUGGCGGGGGAGCACCACAAGGGGUGAAGCCUGCGGUUUAAUUGGACUCAACGCCGGGAAACUUACCAGGGGAGACAGCAGAAUGAUGGUCAGGUUGACGACCUUACCUAACGAGCUGAGAGGAGGUGCAUGGCCGUCGCCAGUUCGUGCUGUGAGGUAUCCUGUUAAGUCAGGCAACGAACGAGAUCCGCGCCUUUAUUUGCCAGCAAGAAGUCACGACUUCGUUGGGAACACUAAAGGGACCGCCGUCGAUAAGACGGAGGAAGGAGCGGGCAAAGGCAGGUCAGUAUGCCCCGAAACCCCUGGGCUACACGCGGGCUGCAAUGGUAUGAACAAUGGGCUGUAACUCCGACAGGAGAAACCAAUCCCGAAACGGCGUCUCAGUUGGAAUUGUGGGCUGUAACUCGCCCACAUGAACGUGGAUCCCUAGUAAUCGCGUGUCAUCAUCGCGCGGUGAUACGUCUCUGCU
rnacentral:rRNA from 1 species